UGGAGAAAGAAGGAAGGGGUUUGUAAAUCUCCACAGCUUCAGAAUCCUUCUCCCCCAGGGCAGUAUUCCCCAAUUAUACUUCUCAGUCAUCAACACCUCUUUCUUGUCUGGGCUCAUCAACCUUCCAGCCCAGUUAGCACAUCCGUCACUGCAGAAAGCUGGACCCCACACCAAGUCUAUCAUCUUAGAAUGCGGAAAG
ensembl:misc_RNA predicted gene, 27545